ACGUAGGAGGCGAGCGUUAUCCGGAUUUACUGGGCGUAAAGCGUACGCAGGCGGCUGGGUAAGACAGGUGUGAAAUCCCCGGGCUUAACCUGGGAACUGCAUUUGUGACUGCCUAGCUAGAGUUUGUCAGAGGGGGGUGGAAUUCCACGUGUAGCAGUGAAAUGCGUAGAGAUGUGGAGGAACACCGAUGGCGAAGGCAGCCCCCUGGGUCGACACUGACGCUCAUGCACGAAAGCGUGGGGAGCAAACAG
rnacentral:rRNA from 1 species